GCGCACGGGUGAGUAACACGUGAAUGAUCUACUCCGAGUGGGGAAUAACUGAGAGAAAUCUUAGCUAAUACCGCAUAACACUUACGAGUCAAAGCAGCAAUGCGCUUGGAGAGGAGUUCGCGGCCGAUUAGCUAGUUGGCGGGGUAAUGGCCCACCAAAGGCGAUGAUCGGUAUCCGGCCUGAGAGGGCGCACGGACACACUGGAACUGAAACACGGUCCAGACUCCUACGGGAGGCAGCAGUGGGGAAUUUUGCGCAAUGGGGGAAACCCUGACGCAGCAACGCCGCGUGGAGGAUGAAGUACUUCGGUACGUAAACUCCUUUCGAUCGGGACGAUAAUGACGGUACCGGAAGAAGAAGCCCCGGCUAACUUCGUGCCAGCAGCCGCGGUAAUACGAGGGGGGCAAGCGUUGUUCGGAAUUAUUGGGCGUAAAGGGUGCGUAGGCGGUUUGGUAAGUCUUGUGUGAAAUCUCCGGGCUCAACUCGGAGUCUGCAUAGGAAACUGCCGGGCUUGAGUGUGGGAGAGGUGAGUGGAAUUUCCGGUGUAGCGGUGAAAU
rnacentral:rRNA from 1 species